rnacentral:rRNA from 1 species
GUGUCAGCAGCCGCGGUAAUACGUAGGGUGCGAGCGUUGUCCGGAAUUAUUGGGCGUAAAGAGCUUGUAGGCGGUUUGUCGCGUCUGCCGUGAAAAUUCGAGGCUCAACCUCGAACUUGCGGUGGGUACGGGCAGACUAGAGUGUGGUAGGGGAGACUGGAAUUCCUGGUGUAGCGGUGAAAUGCGCAGAUAUCAGGAGGAACACCGAUGGCGAAGGCAGGUCUCUGGGCCACUACUGACGCUGAGAAGCGAAAGCAUGGGGAGCGAACAGGAUUAGAAACCCUGGUAGUCC